GGAGAUGUAGCUUAGUAGUUAAGAGCACUUGUUCUUGCAAAGGACCUGGGCUCAAUUCCCAGCACUCCCA
rnacentral:tRNA from 1 species